rnacentral:lncRNA from 1 species
AAGGGUAAGAAGAGGAAUCAUGUGGAAGAAGAGUAAACAUCUGAUGGUGUCCUGGGUAGCUGAAACUGUGGAAAGCAAAACCGUGGAUAAGGGGGAACUACUAUACUGAAAAUGUACAAAACAGAGAAGAUUUCAUUGAAGAAGUCUGCUGUUUCUGGAAUGGGAAAUUAAGGGAGAGGUUCGUGAAGAAGUGAUUGGGAAAGAGAGCAAGUCUUGGUUGGACAGUGUGAUUCAAUAGAAAUGUGAGGAGGAAAACUGCAAUUAUUUCUGAACCUUCCCAUCAGCCUUGUCUCUGAUAGAAUUGGCCUGUUGUGGACGGGCUUUGUGUAGAUUAGAGAAAGAAGAAGAUGCUCUUUUGGUGUAAUUGUUCAGUUCCACAUGGCCGGGGAGGCCUCACGAUCAUGGCAGAAGGCAAGGAGGAGCAAGUCACAUCUUAUGUGGAUGGCAGCAGGCAAAGAGAGAGCGAGCUUGUGCAAGGAGACUCCCAUUUUUAAAACCAUCAGAUCUCGUGAGACUUAUUCACUAUCAGGAGAACAGCAAGCUAAAUCAGUGUGAGACCAAGGACCCUGGGGCUCCUCCAGUCAUUGCAGCUGUAUCACAACUACCCUGACAGAUUUCUUGCUCAGGGCAAGCCACCUGCCAUGUCUUGAGAACACUCAAGCAGCACAUGGCGAGGAAUGGAGAUGGACAGACAUGGGCCAGCAAGAAACAGGCUUGCCAACAACAGCUUGCGUGAUCCUGAAAGUGGGUCCUCUAGCCCCAUGUGACUGUUGCCCUGGCCAACAACUUAACUGCAACCUCAAGAGAUACCUACCCUGAGUCAGAACCACCCAGUCAAACUACCCCUGGCAUCUUAACUCAGAGUAACUGUGAGAUAAUUACUGUGAGAUAAUUAUGAUGAUUUUAAGCUUCUCAGUUUGGGGGUAAUUUGUUAUGCAGCAACAGAUAACAAAACACUUAGCAAAUGUUAUUCCAAUGUUAUUUGAUUGAGGGCCAUAGGGAUACAGGAGAAAAGAAAGGUGAACACUCGGGUUUAGAAAACAAAAGAAAUUACAAUCAAUCAAAUUAUUUUUCUAAUAAAAAGUGGGUACUUUGCAA